UACGAAGGGUGCAAGCGUUAAUCGGAAUUACUGGGCGUAAAGCGUGCGUAGGCGGUUCGUUAAGUCUGUCGUGAAAGCCCUGGGCUCAACCUGGGAAUGGCGAUGGAUACUGGCGAGCUAGAGUGUGAUAGAGGAUGGCGGAAUUCCCGGUGUAGCGGUGGAAAUGCGUAGAGAUCGGGAGGAACAUCCGUGGCGAAGGCGCCUCUGGAGUCAACACU
rnacentral:rRNA from 1 species